rnacentral:sRNA from 1 species
AACAGGAUUAGAUACCCUGGUAGUCCACGCUGUAAACGAUGAGUACUAAUGUCGGGGUAACUCGGUACUGAAGUUAACACAUUAAGUACUCCGCCUGAUAGUACGUACGCAAGUAUGAAACUUAAAGGAAUUGACGGGACUCCGCACAGCGGUGGAUCAUGUUGUUUAAUUCGAAGAUACACGAAAAACCUUACCAGUCUUGACAUACUCUGCAAAGCUAUAGAAAUAUAGUGGAGGUUAUCAGGAUACAGGUGGUGCAUGGUUGUCGUCAGUUCGUGUCGUGAGAUGUUAGGUAAGUCCUAAAACGAACGCAACCCCUGUCGCUAGUUGCCAGCACGUAAUGUGGGGACUUUAGCGAGACUGCCAAUUAAACAUUGGAGGAAGGUGGGGAUACGUCAAAUCAUCAUGCCCCUUAUGAUCUGGGCUACAAACGUGAUACAAGGCUAUUACAAAGAGUAGCUGAAACGCGAGUUUUUAGCCAAUCUCAAAAGGUAGUCUCAGUACGGAUUGAAGUCUGCAACUCGACUUCAUGAAGCUGGAUCGCUAGUAAUCGCGAAUCAGCAUGUCGCGGUGAAUACGUUCUCGGGGUUGUACACACCGCCCGUCAAACCACGAAAGUUAGCAAUACCCGAAAGCAUGGCUUAACUUCGAAAGAAGAGGGAGCUGUCUAAGGUAGGGUUGAUGAUGGGGUUAAGUCGUAACAAGGUAUCCUUACCGGAAGGUGAGGAUGGAUCACUCCUUUCUAAGGACAUACAUAUAAAAAUCAUCAUCUUCAGUUUUGAAAACUUAGGUUAAAAUAUAAGUUUUUCUUUUUAUAAAAAAAGUGUUUCUCUAUAUAAAAGACCAAAGGGCCUAUAGCUCAGUUGGUUAGAGCACACGCCUAUAAGCGUGAGGUCGGUGGUUCAAGUCCACUUAGGCCCACCAAUUUUAUUCAGGAAAAUAUUUACUUCGAAGAAAGUUCUUUGAAAAGUAGAUAAACAGAUUUGCUUAAUUCAAUUAAUUUUGAAGAAAGUAAGGG